GCCCUUUAAAACGACAUCUGGUUAACUGUACUUAACCAGCUGAUCACUGUACAGUUAUUUUUAAAUGUAAUGUAUGCUUAAACAGAUGUUAUUUUUAUAGAUGUGGAUCUAAACUGCACUUGUGUACGUGCUAUGUCUGCAUAAACUCUUUCUGCAAUUCAAAUGUUGACACCCAAAAUUACAAGCCAGAAUGCUUAUGAACUCCACUAUUAUGGUACUGCUAUUUCCAGUGUCUAGUAUUUAAAAAUCUAUCACAAAUAACUAUUGCCUUCCAGACACGUAUAAUUGAUCCUACUUGUAUCAACAGUAAGUUCCUUUUCAGGCUGAAUGCACUGUAUAAUUAUCAUGUCUUCAGUUUCUUUUCCUACAGUUCUUUUUAAUUACAAAAUAAUACCCUUCUGAAGAGCGCAUCUUUGGUAUCUUAACCAUCGUUGG
rnacentral:lncRNA from 1 species